GGGCGCAUAGCUCAGCGGAAGAGCAUUCGCCUUACAAGCGAAGGGUCGCUGGUUCGAACCCAGCUGCGCCCA
rnacentral:tRNA from 2 species